rnacentral:rRNA from 1 species
GACGAACGCUGGCGGCAUGCUUAACACAUGCAAGUCGAACGGUGAUGCUCCAGCUUGCUGGAGUGGAUCAGUGGCGAACGGGUGAGUAACACGUGAGCAACCUGCCCCAGACUCUGGAAUAAGCGCUGGAAACGGCGUCUAAUACUGGAUACGAAACUGGCCCGCAUGGGCAUGGUUUGGAAAGUUUUUCGGUUUGGGAUGGGCUCGCGGCCUAUCAGCUUGUUGGUGAGGUAAUGGCUCACCAAGGCGACGACGGGUAGCCGGCCUGAGAGGGCGACCGGCCACACUGGGACGGAGACGCGCCCGAGACUCCUCGGGGGGGGAGGGGGGGGAAAUAUUGCAAAGGGGGCGAAACCCGUAUGGAGCGGCGCCGUGGGGGGUGUGGGGCCUUUGGGUUUGAAACCCUCUUGCAGGAGGAAAAGAGCGAAUGUGAGGGUACCUGGAGAAGAAGCACCGGCAAACUACGUG